UGAGCGGCAAAAGCUCAAAUUUGAAAUCUGGUACCUUCGGUGCCCGAGUUGUAAUUUGGAGAGGGCAACUUUGGGGCCGUUCCUUGUCUAUGUUCCUUGGAACAGGACGUCAUAGAGGGUGAGAAUCCCGUGUGGCGAGGAGUGCGGUUCUUUGUAAAGUGCCUUCGAAGAGUCGAGUUGUUUGGGAAUGCAGCUCUAAGUGGGUGGUAAAUUCCAUCUAAAGCUAAAUAUUGGCGAGAGACCGAUAGCGAACAAGUACAGUGAUGGAAAGAUGAAAAGAACUUUGAAAAGAGAGUGAAAAAGUACGUGAAAUUGUUGAAAGGGAAGGGCAUUUGAUCAGACAUGGUGUUUUGUGCCCUCUGCUCCUUGUGGGUAGGGGAAUCUCGCAUUUCACUGGGCCAGCAUCAGUUUUGGUGGCAGGAUAAAUCCAUAGGAAUGUAGCUUGCCUCGGUAAGUAUUAUAGCCUGUGGGAAUACUGCCAGCUGGGACUGAGGACUGCGACGUAAGUCAAGGAUGCUGGCAUAAUGGUUAUAUGCCGCCCGUCUUGAAACAC
rnacentral:rRNA from 1 species